UGAAGAGUGAAUGGGGCCUAUCAAGAUGGAUGUGCAGCUACUGGAGACUGAGACCAGGAGGCGGAAGCAAAGUUUUCUGUUCUGUCAGCUUCUCUCUUCCUUGGCCAAUGACAAUCUUGCGUGAGAAGAGGAACCAAGGGGUGGGUGUGGGACACCACCAUGAAUCUACUCAGUGUAACUCUCUGAGUCCCUGUCCACUCUUGGCAACCCCAGGUUCUCAUCUUCACUUAGAGACCAGAGAAAAACACUAUAGAUCUUUGAGAAGCUCUCCUCUUCCGUAGCAGCCAGAGAUUCAAGAGGAUUCAUGAGGGCAUCGCCAGCGGAACAUGCCGUCCCCGAAGAGGCACCCUAGGGAGUGCCCUGUGUCGUUAGGGGCCUGAGGACUUGUUGUGAGCUGGAAAUAGACAGUUGUUCAACAUGUAGCAGCACACCACUGAACACAUGCCUGUGCCGGGACAAAGAGCCACAUACAUGGAGAUUUUCUGAUUCAAAAGAAAUGGGCAAAACCAACAACUCCGUCAGUGAUGGCAGCACAAUAUGCAACGGCUGGAGAAGAAGGAACAUUUGCACUCGGGAUCCAUCAUGCAGGCAGAAGACCAAACCAGUCCUCCCACAGCAGAGGCCAGCAAGGAUCUCGGAUACCGCCUGGAUCUGAGGUCCCUCUCCCCUCCUACCCUGCCAUCCCCCAUCAUUGAGCCUCCAGCCUCAGAAUGUCACUGACUGAGUUAUCCAAGAGACUGCUCAAAAGCUGAGACUAAGAGCCUUUUGAUUGGCUAGUUAAACAAAUUUCAUAUUGUAACUAAAGAAAGUAAAGUUUGACAAAGUCUCCUUCGGCGAUAGGAAAUGAAUUUCUGCAGGAGCUGAGAUUCUUGUAUUUACUGAAAGAGGAGAAGGAUUUAAAGAAAAAUGGAAUACCUGCUAAAGUGGGCGGUAGAAGCCAAGAUAUUGAAGAAUCUAGGGACAAGCCACGUGCCUCUUUCUCUCAGCCAGGACGAAAAAAACACUCUCUGGGUCCUGCACGGACGGUGGAAGCUGAUUCAGUCCCACCUCUCUACUCCAGCAUGUGGAAGGGAAAGAGAGAACAUGGAGGGCAAAUGAUUUCUUUUUAAGCAACGAUGUAGCAGUUCCACCAUCCUUUCUGCU